rnacentral:tRNA from 1 species
GCUCAGUCGGUUGAGUGUCCAACUCUUGAUUUCAGCUCAGGUCGUGAUCCCAGGGCUGUGGGAUCAAGUCCCGCAUUGAGCU